CCUACGGGAGGCAGCAGUGAGGAAUAUUGGUCAAUGGCCGAGAGGCUGAACCAGCCAAGUCGCGUGAGGGAAGACUGCCCUACGGGUUGUAAACCUCUUUUGUCUGGGAGUAAAGCGAUUCACGUGUGACUCAUUGAGAGUACCCUAAGAAAAAGCAUCGGCUAACUCCGUGCCAGCAGCCGCGGUAAUACGGAGGAUGCGAGCGUUAUCCGGAUUUAUUGGGUUUAAAGGGUGCGAAGGGGGAGGUGAAAGUCAGUGGUAAAAUUGGGGGGCUCAACCCCGUACUGCAGUUGAAACUGGAAGCCGUGAGUGCAGGAGAGGUAGGCGGAAUGCGUGGUGUAGCGGUGAAAUGCAUAGAUAUCACGCAGAACUCCGAUUGCGAAGGCAGCAUACUGGAGCGCAACUGACGCUCAUGCACGAAAGUGUGGGUAUCGAACAGGAUUAGAUACCCUAGUAGUC
rnacentral:rRNA from 1 species